GAUGAACGCUGGCGGCGUGCCUAAUACAUGCAAGUCGAGCGAACAGACGAGGAGCUUGCUCCUCUGACGUUAGCGGCGGACGGGUGAGUAACACGUGGAUAACCUACCUAUAAGACUGGGAUAACUUCGGGAAACCGGAGCUAAUACCGGAUAAUAUAUUGAACCGCAUGGUUCAAUAGUGAAAGACGGUUUUGCUGUCACUUAUAGAUGGAUCCGCGCCGCAUUAGCUAGUUGGUAAGGUAACGGCUUACCAAGGCAACGAUGCGUAGCCGACCUGAGAGAGUGAUCGGCCACACUGGAACUGAGACACGGUCCAGACUCCUACGGGAGGCAGCAGUAGGGAAUCUUCCGCAAUGAGCGAAAGCCUGACGGAGCAACGCCGCGUGAGUGAUGAAGGUCUUCGGAUCGUAAAACUCUGUUAUUAGGGAAGAACAAAUGUGUAAGUAACUAUGCACGUCUUGACGGUACCUAAUCAGAAAGCCACGGCUAACUACGUG
rnacentral:rRNA from 1 species